rnacentral:lncRNA from 1 species
GGUAUGCGGUGGGUGUCCGCGUUUGCGCCACGCACGUGGUGUGUGACCCGCCGGCAGCGGCUUUGGCAAAGCUGGUCGACUGGAUGCCGCACGGCUCGAAGUCUGACCGUUCGCACGGCCCGUUCCGCUCGCUGGUCCCCGGGCCUGUCCUCUGCCUGCACGCACUGUGCCCACCACCGCGGACACGUAGCUCAGCGCGGCGUUUGCAGCUCUUCCGUGAGGAGUGAGGCUCUGCUGGGGGCUGACAGCGGUGUGGACGGUGACCGGUGGAAGUCGCAGCUGUGACCGGGGCUCGCAAAGCUGUUCCACGGAGUCGAGGAAAAAUUCUUAGACAACGUUGGUGUGUGAAAUCUCAUGGGGUCCACGGGGGAAGCCCACCCAAGGCCGGAGGGGGUUCAGAGCUCACAGCAUGCUUUCAAAGCACAUCGCAGGCCAAGAACCAGGAACAACCCCCAGGUCCACGAACCAGCGGUAGACACAAUGCAGCGUGUCCACACCGCGGACUACUAUCUGCUGUAAAACACAAGGCAGCCUGACCCAGGCCACAGCGCGAUGCCCCUCAGAAGCAUCCCACCGUGGGAUGCGGCCCAGUCACAGAGGACCACACGCAGGAGGGUCCCGUUCCCCUGAAGGGUCAGAGAGCCAAAGCUGCAGAGUCGCAAAGCAGGUCAGCGGUCGCCGGGGGCCGGCGGGGGGAUGGGCCUGAGUGCUAACGGGGCGGGGCGGGGGGCGUCCGGAUGA